rnacentral:rRNA from 1 species
UUCCUACGGGUGGCAGCAGUGGGGAAUAUUGGACAAUGGGCGCAAGCCUGAUCCAGCCAUGCCGCGUGAGUGAUGAAGGCCUUAGGGUUGUAAAGCUCUUUUGUCCGGGACGUUAAUGACGGUACCGGAAGAAUAAGCCCCGGCUAACUUCGUGCCAGCAGCCGCGGUAAUACGAAGGGGGCUAGCGUUGCUCGGAAUCACUGGGCGUAAAGGGCGCGUAGGCGGCCGAUUAAGUCGGGGGUGAAAGCCUGUGGCUCAACCACAGAAUUGCCUUCGAUACUGGUUGGCUUGAGACCGGAAGAGGACAGCGGAACUGCGAGUGUAGAGGUGAAAUUCGUAGAUAUUCGCAAGAACACCAGUGGCGAAGGCGGCUGUCUGGUCCGGUUCUGACGCUGAGGCGCGAAAGCGUGGGGAGCAAACAGGAUUAGAUACCCUAGUAGUCG